rnacentral:tmRNA from 1 species
AUAAAUGGCAAUACUCAGUAUGCCAUGGCUGCCUAAUCAGUGAUUAAGUAGUCAUUAGGGCCGCCGGGCCGGUUUUCCUGUUACCAUGCCCCGCCGCCGACUUAAAACAAAACAGGAUGCUGCAACCAAAGGCUGUGCUGGUUGCUUAAGAACAUCCAGCUAAGGAAUUAAUCGGUUGCCCGUUUCCAGUUGAUUCCCGACAUAACAAAACAGGAUAAACAUGUAGAAAGCUUUCGGCGAAUAUGUUUGGACACCGGUUCGACUCCGGUCGCCUCCACAA